UCUAGGCCAUCCUGAGGAUGUGGUUUUGAAAUAGAUUAGCUACAAACUGAGCUGUCAGUCAGAACAUCGGCCUGAACAAUGAUACUCUGUUUACUAAGCUUUCUUUCCACAUUCGGAGGAGGGAGCUGUGUAGAUUUCAUCACUCCUGUCCAAACUGAGGUUUAUAGGACGAGUGGGGAUAAAGUCACAUUAUCUUGCAACUACUCUUCAGCCCUUUCUCUGUACUGGUAUCGUCAGUAUCCAAGGUCAAGUCCACAUUGGCUUCUUCUGAUACUACAAAACAGCGGCGAGUCUCAAAUCAUGCAGCCUGGCAUGUCAGCGAAAUUAAAUGAAAAGAAAAAGUCUGUGGAUCUGGAGAUCUCCUCUGUGAAAGUAUCAGACUCGGCAGUGUACUACUGUGCCUUGAAGCCCACAGUGAGAGGAAACCCGACAGCGCCGUACAAAAACUGAAUCUGGCCUGACAAAGGUCCUAUUGAGCUUUAUAUUCCUUUUUACAAAAGUGAAUCUGAUUGUCAUGAUGAAAGAGCCUGUGCAUCAGUUCCUGUCACAGAUGAAUGAGAACUGGAACAAGAUCAUUUGAGUAUCAAUGGUUCCCAGUAGGUACAUCACUGUUUCAAGAGGUGGCGCUCUUUGAUUAGUUUGUCUUGGCUUGAAUUUGACUUAUUUUUCACAUCACAGUCACUCUUUGUAAGAACAUCAACCAACAUGUAUCUUACUGUCUUGUUAAUUUUGAUUCUUCAUAUAGGUGAGUUGAUUAAUUUCUCAGAAUUAAUGACUUCAAUUAAACAAGGAUUAUAUUGAUCAGAAUUGCUUUUAAUGUAGAUUGAUCAGUAAAUAUACUUUUUAUUUUAAGUCUUGUUUGUUUCAUUUUAUUUUACUGGUUCUCAUAGGUAACAUCCUGACAAACAU